GGAAUUGUUCGCAAUGGGCGAAAGCCUGACGACGCAACGCCGCGUGGAGGAUGAAGCCUUUCGGGUCGUAAACUCCUUUCGACCGAGAUGACCACCCGCCGACCUAAUCCGUCGGCAGGCUGACAGUAUCGAGGGAAGAAGCCCCGGCUAACUCCGUGCCAGCAGCCGCGGUAAUACGGGGGGGGCAAGCGUUGUUCGGAAUUACUGGGCGUAAAGGGUUCGUAGGUGGCCAACUAAGUCAGACGUGAAAUCCCUCGGCUCAACCGGGGAACUGCGUCUGAUACUGGUUGGCUUGAGUGCAGGAGAGGAACGCGGAAUUCCAGGUGUAGCGGUGAAAUGCGUAGAUAUCUGGAGGAACACCGGUGGCGAAGGCGGCGUUCUGGACUGCAACUGACACUGAGGAACGAAAGCCAGGGGAGCAAAC
rnacentral:rRNA from 1 species